GGGACCCUACGGGUGCCGCGUUCGGAAUAGAGUACGAUUCGAAACCACCUAACGAGGAACGAUCGGAGGGCAAGUCUGGUGCCAGCAGCCGCGGUAAUUCCAGCUCCAAUAGCGUACGUUAAAGUUGCUGCAGUUAAAAGCUCGUAGUUGAACGUUCGGGUUCCGCGGGACGGGGCCGCCCCGCGAGGGACGGCGCCGCCCCGGGGCUCGUGAUAUCUCAUCUCGCCGCCCGUCGCGAGGCGGACGGAGGGAUGGAUGAGGUUACCUGGAAAAAAAUCGGGGCGAUCUAGGCGGGCGAACCUCGCCAACGAACGAUCGGACAUGGGAUAACGGAAGAGGGCGUCGGCUCGACUUCGUCGGUUCCUCGGGCCGAGGCACGUACGGUGAAUAGGGACGGUCGGGGCCGCCCGUACCGGGUCGUGAGAGGUGAAAUUCUAGGAUCGACCCCGAGACGAACCGCCGCGAAAGCAUUCGGCAAGGACGC
rnacentral:rRNA from 1 species